GUGCCAGGUGCCGGUCUCCUAACCUCCCCCACGUCUCGCAUUUCACCCUCACAACAUCCCCCUGCGGCAGGGCGGGGCCGUUGCUAACACUCUAUAGCGUUUCUGCUCUGGCCAGAUAGCAAUGAGUGAGCCACAAAGCCCCUGCGGCGACUUCACGAGCCUUCAGCAUCUGCCCAGCGGGGUGCAGAUCCAUGGCUGCCCCUGGCUUGAGCUGGGGAGCCCUGCGGCCUCCUCUCUCCCCGCCCCAGGUGCCUGCCCCUCCGAGAAGCCCGCCCCUGAGUGCACGGGUGACCCCCGGUCAGGGUGGCUGGGGCUGGCGCGCCCUGUUAAUCAGUCGCUAGCGUAGGUCUGUCUAUGGGGGGAUUUUGUCGACCUGAUUCUCAGCUACACUCAGCUGGCAUUAAGUAAAGGAGACGGUCUUCCAUCGUCUGGUGGGCACGAUCCAUGCUCGAAGAGCAAACCCGAGGUUUCCCGGAGAAGAAGCAAUUCUGCCUGCAGAUGGCCGCGGCAGCUCCGACCUAGCCUGUUCUGCAGAGUUCAGAUUUGCCUCACUGGCCCGGCGAUCCGGUAUCUCCAUCUGCUGAUUCACUCCCUACAUGCCUGCCACAGCCAGGGCUGUGCCCAACAGAAAUCAGCAGCUGGAGCUCUCGGGGUUCCCCAGUACCGUGUUGUUUUGUCAACUUCUAGUCCACUGAUUUGGGAUUCUCUGAUGUUCUCAUUGACUCCGAGGAGAAAUAUCUCUCAGGGGUGAAUUCUGGGAAACAUUGUGCCUCUCCUAAAAAGGUCGGAUCCUAUCGCAGAGCCUGAACCGCAUCACUGAGUGUACCACUCUUUGUAUUUGCCAUAAGAAAGUUCAAGGCCAGACUUUUAUUUCCUUGUGAAAACAUGAAGAAUCCUGUUUGUAUUUCUUCCCUGAAUCGAUGAGAGAGAACUCCCGUCCUGUGAUUCACUCUUCAAAUGCCCACAGCAUAGAGGGCUGGGCCAGAACUCAGCAUCACAGGGAUCCAACUACUUGAGUCAUCACUGUUGCCUCUCAGGAUGUGCACUGGUAAGAAGCUGAUGUCGGGAGCUGGAUAUCAAACCCAGGCACUGCAGCAUGGGAUGUGGGCAUCUUAGCUGGCAUCUUUGCCACCAGGCUAACCACCCAUACUUCUUACCCUGAACUGGUUGAUGUAUCCUUUUUUAAAAAUUUUAAUCAAAGAUUCAUUCACUUAAUAUGUACUGAGUAGCUGUAUUGCAAGAUUAUGCUAAAACAGAAUGAAAUAUGCAUGCUCUCAGUUUAAAGGCUGCUCAAGGGGCAGCAUGGUCAGAUGGGUACAAGAUAAUGGUCACCAUGCUUAAUACUAUGAUGAAAAUAACCCAUGUCAAAUAAGAGCCAUGCAACAAGGAGUCCCACUGAGAUGGGCAGGUGAGGUCAGGGCAGCUGCUCCAGGCAGCUGAGCCAAGUUCUGAGGUUAGGAGGCAGCCCAGCGUCUGACGAGGGGAGCACAGGGAACAGUGUGUAAUGGGAUAGGAGUUUAAUGCCUUGUAGAAAUUGGGAGAAUACCAAAGUGGACAGAGCAAUCCAGCAGGGUUUGGAGAGCUUGGCGUGGUGAACAUGUGGAGUGCUGAGAAGGUGGUGCACCCAGCGAAGCUCUACCCUCCAGCCCCAGGCAUCUCCUCCAUUUCGAUGGUCCUGACUUAUGUCCUUUAGAAGGAACGGAGCCAUGUGAGUGAAGUGCUUUCCUGAGUUCCGGGAGCCAUUUGGGCAAAUCAUUGAACCUAAAAUUGGAGGAAUUGUGAGAACCCCAGUUGUGUAGCCACACUGGACAGAAGCAAGAAUUAUAAGCUGGCUGCCCAACCCUUGUGCCCGGCUUCUGCAGUGAGGUCAGGCCUGUGGGACUGAGCCCUUGAACCUGUGGGGGCUGAAACUGGCUCUGGGGAGUGUCUGAGCCAGAGUGAAUCAGCGGACACCCAGCUGGUGUCCCAAGAGCUGGAAAAUAGGUUGAUAUGGAAACCCUCCCCGACCCCUGCACUUGGUGUCAGGCGUAGCGUGAAUUAAAACAGCUCAGAAAUAUUACAUACACCCUUAAAAGUGACACAGACUGAUCCUCAGAGCCAGCUCUCUAACGGUGUUAAUGUAUCAAAGUACAGAAAUAGUAAGGUGGAGAGAUUAUGAGGAGAGGAGUUGGCCAGGGACACUAAGUAAGAGUCACAGGGAAGGCUGAUAAUGAGGGAAGCUUUCCCCUUGAGUUUUCUUCCGAGUUGUGAUAGUACAGUGCUUAGUUUCAGCUCUGGAAUUCCAACCAGAAGCUUAGCAGAAGCUCCUGCAAUGUCAACUAAAACAGUGAACACACAGUCCAUGCAAAAGUACUUUUUCAAGAAGGAAAAAUAGGCUUUUGCCCUCAGCAGAACAGAGCUGAGGUUAAGUUGGAUGAAAGUCCCCAUAGAUCAACACUGCCUGGGCUGGGGCCAGGUGCCAAUGGGUGAGGGCCACACCCCUCUCCUCCACUGGGUUUCCUCCUCCCCACUUCCUUCUCGACACUCUGCCCACUUCCUCUGGGUAGGGACUGUGAAUCUCAGUACCAACUGUAGCGAGAGAAGCUCAAGUCCCAGCCCUCGCCUGCAGAGCAGAGUCAACUCAUGGGUCUACACUCACACAGCACACACACAGGUCUGCGUCAUGUGGCGUGUUUGUUAUGCUGGUGACUAUGAACCAGGGCCAGACUCCAGGACAGUUCCCUCGUCUGUCUGUCGAGGUUUAUAGCCGAGAGUGCUUUAAGUAGAAAAGGGAUUUCUCGAAAGGAUAUCAGGACUUCCAGAAGAGCCAAGUUAGAAAAAUCAAAAUCCAAGAGCCUUAAGGAAGAAUCAGGGGGAAAAGCCAGCCCUGCCGGGAGACAGCAAACAAGGGACUGUGGUUGCCUCCGUGUU